rnacentral:rRNA from 1 species
CCUACGGGUGGCAGCAGUGAGGAAUAUUGGUCAAUGGACGAGAGUCUGAACCAGCCAAGUAGCGUGAAGGAUGACUGCCCUCUGGGUUUUAACCUUCUUUUAUAUGGGAAUAAAAUGUUCCACGUGUGGGAUUUUGUAUGGACCAUAUGAAUAAGGAUCGGCUAACUCCGUGACAGCAGCCGCGGUAAUACGGAGGAUCCGAGGGUUAUCCGGCUGUAUUGGGUUUAAAGGGCGCGUAGGUGGAUUGUUAAGUCAGUUGUGAAAGUUUGCGGCUCAACCGUAAAAUUGCAUUUGAAACUGGCAGUCUUGAGUACAGUAGAGGUGGGCGGAAUUCGUGGUGUAGCGGUGAAAUGCUUAGAUAUCACGAAGAACUCCGAUUGCGAAGGCAGUUCACUGGACUGCAACUGACACUGAGGCUCGAAAGUGUGGGUAUCAAACAGGAUUAGAUACCCCGGUAGUC